rnacentral:rRNA from 1 species
CCUACGGGAGGCAGCAGUGGGGAAUAUUGGACAAUGGGGGGAACCCUGAUCCAGCGACGCCGCGUGAGUGAAGAAGUAUUUCGGUAUGUAAAGCUCUAUCAGCAGGGAAGAAAGAAAUGACGGUACCUGACUAAGAAGCCCCGGCUAACUACGUGCCAGCAGCCGCUGUAAUACGUAGGGGGCAAGCGUUAUCCGGAUUUACUGGGUGUAAAGGGAGCGUAGACGGCGAUGCAAGUCUGAAGUGAAAGGCGGGGGCUCAACCCCCGGACUGCUUUGGAAACUGUAUGGCUGGAGUGCAGGAGAGGUAAGUGGAAUUCCUGGUGUAGCGGUGAAAUGCGUAGAUAUUAGGAGGAACACCAGUGGCGAAGGCGGCUUACUGGACUGUAACUGACGUUGAGGCUCGAAAGCGUGGGGAGCAAACAGGAUUAGAUACCCCAGUAGUC